CACGUAGGGUGCGAGCGUUGUCCGGAAUUAUUGGGCGUAAAGAGCUCGUAGGCGGCCUGUUGCGUCCGCUGUGAAAGCCCGGGGCUUAACCCCGGGUCGGCAGUGGAUACGGGCAGGCUAGAGGUAGGUAGGGGAGAAUGGAAUUCCCGGUGUAGCGGUGAAAUGCGCAGAUAUCGGGAGGAACACCGGUGGCGAAAGCAGGUAUCUGGGCCAUCACUGACGCUGAGCUGCGAAAGCUAGGGGAGCAAACAGG
rnacentral:rRNA from 1 species